AAAAAGCAAGUGAAUUGUAAGAUCAAUUAUCACGUUAGUACAAAAGAGCCCGCUAAACCUCACUACUACAUAAUUUCAAAACCAUGAAAUAAAAACUUGAUUAAAAAAGAAACGAAAGGCUACAACAUUAGUGCCAUUUUUUGCUUUUUUAGAUAAUUACUCAAGUCGAGGUGUGGAACCAGUAGGUAUUAAAAAACAUUUUUCACGUCAAUCUGGCAAAUGAAAUUUAUUACCCGAUAAAUGUCUCGCGUAUGCGGUUUCAGCAUUUUGAUAUAUUCAGCUCAUAAAUCAUUUGUCAAUGUCGAAUGGCGUGAGCAGGGGGAAAGCCAUGCCCAUUAGGAGAGCUGAUCCAUCCAGCCCCCUCCGAUAACGAAACUAAUAGUGUAUUCCUUACCUGUGGUUGCCGUUGGUAGCGGGUGAAACUAGUGUAGUGUUGCGAUGUCACGUUUAAAACAACUGUAUUGCCUUGCCUUGAUACUCACACUGACCGCUGUCCAGCUGCGGCCGGUGGCCUCGGACAUUGAUGGCGGCGUUCUUGUUGGAUGUGGUUUGAUCAAUCUCUUCUUUUUCCGGAAGGGAAUCGACCGAGGGAAGUCGAACAACGAAAACAAAGGGGCUAUUGACCUUGCAACAGCUAUAUGUACCCAGGAAAAUAUUCCAACUCCACAGGACAUCCCGGAAUGUGUAAGGUGCCGUUUGAUUUCAGAUCCGACGCUAUGUGUGGCACCGUGUAAUUUGGUUUUCCAAACUCUCUGUACUGCAUGAUGUGGCCAUAGUCAUGGUAUCAGCGUACCUUUGAUGAUGACCGUACUGGGAUUGGAAUUUUACAGUGCUGGAAUUGAAAAUACAUUGUGUAGUUAAUCCAUCUUUAUUUUGUAAAUAUUGUUAAACUUUUCAAUAUUGCUGAAAAAAUGAAAUGUUGAGACAAUAAUAAAACGAUAGAAGAAAUAUAUAAAUAAAUAUAAAAUCGAUAGGUUUAUAGUUCGCUAAACUGAAAUGAUACAUUAAUACUACUAUAUACAGCUCUUGAAGAGCAUGUAAUAAAACAAUGUACAUCACAGAUAUUGAAAAACUGUAGCUUAUAUACCACCUUCAGGUAACAAUUAAAUUAUCGUAAUAAAAAAUGAAU